rnacentral:rRNA from 1 species
UACGUAGGGUGCGAGCGUUAAUCGGAAUUACUGGGCGUAAAGCGUGCGCAGGCGGUUCGUUAAGUCAGAUGUGAAAGCCCCGGGCUCAACCUGGGAACUGCAUUUGAAACUGGCGGGCUUGAGUGUGGCAGAGGGGGGUGGAAUUCCGCGUGUAGCAGUGAAAUGCGUAGAGAUGCGGAGGAACACCGAUGGCGAAGGCAGCCCCCUGGGCCAACACUGACGCUCAGGCACGAAAGCCGGGGGAGCAAACAGG